rnacentral:rRNA from 1 species
GAAAGCCUGACGGAGCAACGCCGCGUGAGGGACGAAGGCCUUUGGGCUGUAAACCUCUUUUCUCAAGGAAGAAGACCUGACGGUACUUGAGGAAUAAGCCACGGCUAAUUCCGUGCCAGCAGCCGCGGUAAUACGGGAGUGGCAAGCGUUAUCCGGAAUUAUUGGGCGUAAAGCGUCCGCAGGCGGCCGUUUAAGUCUGUUGUUAAAUCGUGGAGCUCAACUCCAUCACGGCAAUGGAAACUGUUCGGCUUGAGUAUGGUAGGGGCAGAGGGAAUUUCCGGUGUAGCGGUGAAAUGCGUAGAUAUCGGGAAGAACACCAGUGGCAAAAGCGCUCUGCUGGGCCAUUACUGACGCUCAUGGACGAAAGCCAGGGGAGCGAAAGGGAUUAGAUACCCCUGUAGUCCUGGCCGUAAACGAUGAGCACUAGAUGUUGGGGGAAUCGACCCCCUCGGCGUCGUAGCUAACGCGUUAAGUGUUCCGCCUGGGGAGUACGCACGCAAGUGUGAAACUCAAAGGAAUUGACGGGGGCCCGCACAAGCGGUGGAGUAUGUGGUUUAAUUCGAUGCAACGCGAAGACCUUUACCAAGGCUUGACAUCCUGCGAAUCUCCAAGAAAUUGGAGAGUGCCUUCGGGAACGCAGUGACAGGUGGUGCAUGGCUGUCGUCAGCUCGUGUCGUGAGAUGUUGGGUUAAGUCCCGCAACGAGCGCAACCCACGUUUUUAGUUGCCAGCAUUCAGUUGGGCACUCUAGAAAGACUGCCGGUGACAAACCGGAGGAAGGUGUGGACGACGUCAAGUCAUCAUGCCCCUUACGCCUUGGGCUACACACGUACUACAAUGCUACGGACAAAGAGUAGCGAUCUUGCGAAAGUUAGCUAAUCUCGUAAACCGUGGCUCAGUUCAGAUCGUAGGCUGCAACUCGCCUACGUGAAGGAGGAAUCGCUAGUAAUCGCAGGUCAGCAUACUGCGGUGAAUACGUUCCCGGGCCUUGUACACACCGCCCGUCACACCAUGGAAGUUGGCC